rnacentral:rRNA from 1 species
GGCGUGGAUAAGACAUGCAAGUCGAGCGGGAUUUUUUUCUGUAGCAAUACAGGAGGAAGUCUAGCGGCGAACGGGUGCGUAACACGUGGGCAAUCUGUCUUAAAGUGGGGGAUAGCUCGGCGAAAGCCGGAUUAAUACCGCAUGUGAUCAGGGGAGACAUCUCUCCAAAAUCAAAGGUGGCGCAAGCUACCGCUUUUUGAGGAGCCCGCGGCCUAUCAGCUUGUUGGUGAGGUAACGGCUCACCAAGGCGUUGACGGGUAGCUGGUCUGAGAGGACGACCAGCCACACUGGGACUGAGACACGGCCCAGACACCUACGGGUGGCAGCAGUCGAGAAUUUUUCUCAAUGGGGGAAACCCUGAAGGAGCGACGCCGCGUGGAGGAUGAAGGUCUUCGGAUUGUAAAGUUCUGUCAUUUGGGAACAAUGGUUACGCGUUAACUGCGCGUA